AGAGUUUGAUCAUGGCUCAGAAUCAACGCUGGCGGCGCGCUUAACACAUGCAAGUCGCACGAGAAAGCGGGAGCAAUCUCGCAAGUACAGUGGCGUACGGGUGAGUAACACGUGGGUAAUCUACCUUUUAGUGGGGAAUAACGCUGGGAAACCGGCGCUAAUACCGCAUAAUCUCGAGAGAGGAAAGCAGCAAUGUGCUGAAAGAGGAGCCCGCGGCCGAUUAGCUAGUUGGUAGGGUAAAAGCCUACCAAGGCAUAGAUCGGUAGCCGGCCUGAGAGGGCACACGGCCACACUGGCACUGAAACACGGGCCAGACUCCUACGGGAGGCAGCAGUGGGGAAUCUUGCACAAUGGGGGAAACCCUGAUGCAGCGACGCCGCGUGAGCGAUGAAGCCCUUCGGGGUGUAAAGCUCUUUCGGCAGGGACGAUAAUGACGGUACCUGCAGAAGCAGCUGCGGCUAACUACGUGCCAGCAGCCGCGGUAAUACGUAGGCAGCGAGCGUUGUUCGGAGUUACUGGGCGUAAAGGGUGUGUAGGCGGUUUUCUAAGUUUGGUGUGAAAUCUCCCGGCUCAACCGGGAGGGUGCGCCGAAAACUGGGAGACUCGAGUGCGGGAUGGGAGAGUAGAAUUCCUGGUGUAGCGGUGAAAUGCGUAGAUAUCAGGAGGAAUACCGGUGGUGCAGACGGCUCUCUGGACCGCAACUGACGCUGAGACACGAAAGCGUGGGUAGCAAACAGGAUUAGAUACCCUAGUAGUCC
rnacentral:rRNA from 1 species